AGCAGUAUAGUGUAUUGUGCACACGGGGGUCUAUCAUGUCCUUCGAAUAGUAGAACUCCGAGGUCCUUGUUCGAAUCAAGGUACUGCUC